rnacentral:rRNA from 1 species
AUACGGAGGAUCCGAGCGUUAUCCGGAUUUAUUGGGUUUAAAGGGUGCGCAGGCGGGAGAUUAAGUCGGCGGUGAAAUUUUGCAGCUCAACUGUAAAAGUGCCUUCGAAACUGGUUUCCUUGAGUGCAGAUGAAGUAGGCGGAAUUUGUGGUGUAGCGGUGAAAUGCAUAGAUAUCACGAGGAACUCCGAUUGCGCAGGCAGCUUACUAAACUACUACUGACGCUCAGGCACGAAGGCGUGGGGAUCAAACAGGAUUAGAUACCCUGGUAGUCCACGCAGUAAACGAUGAUUACUAGCUGUUUGCGAUACAAUGUAAGCGGCUGAGCGAAAGCGUUAAGUAAUCCACCUGGGGAGUACGUUCGCAAGAAUGAAACUCAAAGGAAUUGACGGGG